UGGUUCCUACGGGAGGCAGCAGUGGGGAAUAUUGCACAAUGGGGGGAACCCUGAUGCAGCGACGCCGCGUGGGUGAAGAAGCGCCUCGGCGCGUAAAGCCCUGUCAGCAGGGAAGAAAAUGACGGUACCUGAAGAAGAAGCCCCGGCUAACUACGUGCCAGCAGCCGCGGUAAUACGUAGGGGGCAAGCGUUAUCCGGAUUUACUGGGUGUAAAGGGGGCGCAGACGGCGAUGCAAGCCAGGAGUGAAAGCCCGGGGCCCAACCCCGGGACUGCUCUGGAAACUGCCAGGCUGGAGAGCAGGAGG
rnacentral:rRNA from 1 species